UCCGAGUUAGACCCGGCAGUCUCGCUAGACAUAGUAACUAGCGACGAGGGUUGCGCUCGUUGCGGGACUUAACCCAACACCUCACGGCACGAGCUGACGACAGCCAUGCAGCACCUGUGCACGCUCCCUUGCGGGUCGGUCACCUUUCGGAUCCCUACCACGUGCAUGUCAAGCCCAGGUAAGGUUCUUCGCGUUGCAUCGAAUUGAACCACAUGCUCCGCUGCUUGUGCGGGUCCCCGUCAAUUCCUUUGAGUUUUAGCCUUGCGGCCGUACUCCCCAGGCGGGGCACUUAAUGCGUUAGCUGCGGCACGGGAGGAGUCGACACCUCCCACACCUAGCAUCCACAGUUUAGGGCGUGGACUAC
rnacentral:misc_RNA from 1 species